UUACAGCCAUAUCACCUUGCAACACCAGCUCUCAUAUGGUCACUGAAGUUAAGCAACAUUGAGCCUAAUGAGUACCUAGAUGGGUAACCAUUUGGGAAUACCAGGUGGAUG